CCUACGGGAGGCAGCAGUAGGGAAUUUUCGGCAAUGGGGGGAACCCUGAUCGAGCAACGCCGCGUGAACGAAGAAGUUAUUCGUAAUGUAAAGUUCUUUUAACAGGGAAGAAAGAGCAAUUGGACGGUACCUGAAGAAUAAGCUCCGGCUAACUACGUGCCAGCAGCCGCGGUCAUACGUAGGGAGCGAGCGUUAUCCGGAAUUAUUGGGCGAAAGGGGUGCGUAGAUGGCAUAGUAAGUCUUUUGUAAAAAUGCUGGGCUCAACCCAGUAGGGCAAAAGAUACUGCAAAGCUAGAGUAUGAAAGAGGCGAGUGGAACUACAUGUGUAGCGGUAAAAUGCGUAAAUAUAUGUAAGAACACCAGUGGCGAAAGCGGCUUGCUGGGUCGAUACUGACAUUGAGGCACGAAAGCGUGGGGAGCAAACAGGAUUAGAUACCCCUGUAGUC
rnacentral:rRNA from 1 species